rnacentral:siRNA from 1 species
GCAACUCAAGAUUUGGCAGUGGC